GUGGGGAAUAUUGGACAAUGGGCGCAAGCCUGAUCCAGCCAUGCCGCGUGUGUGAUGAAGGCCUUAGGGUUGUAAAGCACUUUCGCCGGUGAAGAUAAUGACGGUAACCGGAGAAGAAGCCCCGGCUAACUUCGUGCCAGCAGCCGCGGUAAUACGAAGGGGGCAAGCGUUGCUCGGAAUCACUGGGCGUAAAGCGCACGUAGGCGGGUUGUUAAGUCAGAGGUGAAAUCCUGGAGCUCAACUCCAGAACUGCCUUUGAUACUGGCGACCUUGAGUUCGAGAGAGGUUGGUGGAACUGCGAGUGUAGAGGUGAAAUUCGUAGAUAUUCGCAAGAACACCAGUGGCGAAGGCGGCCAACUGGCUCGAUACUGACGCUGAGGUGCGAAAGCGUGGGGAGCAAACAGG
rnacentral:rRNA from 1 species